UGUCUUUUUGAAAAUAAUAUAAAGUCUAAUCUGCCCACUGAUUUAAUAUUAAAGGGCUGCAGUAUAUUGACUGUACAAAGGUAGCAUAAUCAUUAGUCAUUUAAUUGAUGACUUGUAUGAAGGAUUGGAUGAAAUAUGAACUGUCUCUUAUUUAUAUUUAGAAUUUAAUUUUUUAAUUAAAAAGUUAAGAUAUAUUAAAAAGACGAGAAGACCCUAUAGAGUUUUAUAAUUAAAUUAAUUAAGGUUAUUUGUAAGAUUAAAAUUAAAAUUAAUUUAAUUAUUUUGUUGGGGUGAUGGAAAAAUAUGAAAAACUUUUUAUAUAUGAAAACAUUGAUAAGUGAUUAAAUGAUCCAAUAUUAUUGAUUAUAAGAAAAAAUUACCUUAGGGAUAACAGCGUAAUUUUUUUUUUUAGUUCAGAUAAAAAAAAAAGUUUGCGACCUCGAUGUUGGAUUAAGAUAAAAUUUAAAUGCAGAAG
rnacentral:rRNA from 1 species